GAGUUUGAUCGUGGCUCAGAUUGAACGCUGGCGGCAUGCCUUACACAUGCAAGUCGAACGGUAACAGGUCUUCGGAUGCUGACGAGUGGCGAACGGGUGAGUAAUACAUCGGAACGUGCCCGAUCGUGGGGGGAUAACGGAGCGAAAGCUUUGCUAAUACCGCAUACGAUCUACGGAUGAAAGCAGGGGACCGCAAGGCCUUGCGCGGACGGAGCGGCCGAUGGCAGAUUAGGUAGUUGGUGGGAUAAAAGCUUACCAAGCCGACGAUCUGUAGCUGGUCUGAGAGGACGACCAGCCACACUGGGACUGAGACACGGCCCAGACUCCUACGGGAGGCAGCAGUGGGGAAUUUGGACAAUGGGCGAAAGCCUGAUCCAGCCAUGCCGCGUGCAGGAUGAAGGCC
rnacentral:rRNA from 1 species